rnacentral:rRNA from 1 species
UACAGAGGGUGCAAGCGUUAAUCGGAUUUACUGGGCGUAAAGCGUGUGUAGGUGGCUACCUAAGUCGAUUGUGAAAUCCCUGGGCUCAACCUGGGAAUUGCAGUCGAUACUGGGCAGCUCGAGUUCGGUAGAGGGUGACGGAAUUCCCGGUGUAGCGGUGAAAUGCGUAGAUAUCAGGAAGAACACCCGUGGCUAAGGCGGCUCUCUAGUACGUGACUGACGCUGAGACGCGAAAGCGUGGGGAGCGAACAGG